ACAGGGCCAGCAGGUCAGGCGCUGACCAUCAACAUGGGCGCAUCGUAAUGGACCAAACCAAACACAGCCAAGCACGCAGCCCGGGCCAACGCAAUGCGCCGUCAACCCGUCAACCCAACCACCUCCCACAGCGCACUCACCACUUGAUGGCGUCCUCCUUGGUCACCUUGUGCUUGACGCCCACGUGGGCCUUCUGCUUCCGGCGGCGGGCCACGCGGUAGCCGCGGCGCUCCAGGCACACGUAGAAGUCCAUGCCUGUGGCGAAGACGAGACGCCACGCCGAACGCGCGAGCGAAAGGGCGAGCGAGAGGGGAGGGGGCAAAGGGGAGCGAGAUGUGGUUAGGUCGCGUACAACGCCUUGCGGCGGACGCUCGGGAUACAACAAUGUCAACGCACAGCCCGGGGCUGGCGGACAGGUAACAGCGCGGCGCAGCAGCCAGCGCGAGGAGAAGGACGGCUUCCAGUUGCCUGGGCACGCGCCGGCAAGCGGCAGCGGCCGGCAGAGCUGGUGCACAGCACGGGCUACUCGAGCGACCGUGUGGCGUCUGCGCCGGGGCCAGGGCGGGGAGGCAUGUCAGAGGGCAGCAAGCAAUGUCAGGGGAGGAGCCUGGUGGAGCAGCAGCAGCAGCGGUGGCGGCUGCAGGCUGCUGCUGCGGCGGCUGCACCGUGGCUGAGUGGCCUCCGUCAGAAUGCGUCUGGUCGGCAUGCUGCCUCCCGUCAAGCCAGCACCAACCCAAACCCGCGCCAGCGGCCCAGAGCUUGCUUGUAAUCCACAAACACUCGCGCUGAGCCCUUGCUGCUUCUUGACCCGCUGUCACUGCAUCAGCCGAUCACCCGUGACGUGCGUGUGGCCCCGCCAAAGUCCGGCAGCUCCGCCUCACCCCUUGGUCGCCCGGCUGUAGUCGCCCGGCUGUUAAACAUAUCACCAGUAGCAAGGCGCCAGAGCUCUACAUGCGCCAGCUUCGUCGUCCUGAGCUGCAUCGUCCUCGACAGCUGCUCUGGUAAGUAGCAUUCAUAGCUGCAAUCGUUCCUCCAUCCCAGCCGCUGAUAUGCUGGAUGGCAUCCGCCGCGCCUGGCUGUGAUGCUGCUUGCUACCGCCGCCGCCUCUAAUACCGCCGCCGCCGCUACUCCACCAGACGCCUCCCCGUCCAUGCCGCACCCAUCUGUGCAUGCCCCAGCCACAGGCCACGCGGCUGACAAAGCCGUCAUGUUGCCUUAAUGCAGUCGUUCCGACCUGACGCGCACGCGCACGCUCUUGCUUACCGUAAAUGCCGGUGGAGGGGUCGUACUUCAGGCCCAGGUCGAUGUGCUCCUGGAUGCCGAAGCCUGCAAGGAAGUUGGUGAAGGUGUAGUACAACGAGUUCAGCAGCUGUGGGUGAGAGCUCAGGGGGAGUGUUCUAGCUGCGUGUGUCGACACGGUCUCAAGCACCAACCGCAAGCGUGUCCCCUUGCCUCUCCCCCCAUGGGCACGCAGCGUGACCGCUUACCGAAGUUGCCGGUGUCGGAGAAGUUCUUGCGGAUCAGCUCGAACUCCUUCACGGCCAGGCCACGCUUCUGCAAGGCCGAACAGGACACACCAUGGUUGGGAUGUGCCAAGCCCCACUGACAGGAACAGCGCCGACGCUGCACAGCCCUCCCAAGUCGUACACCUCAGUGCUAAUUUGAGCAUAGCACAGCAAAAACUCCUUCUACAGCGCUCUGCAGAGCCCGCCGGCUCACCACCAGGUCGUAGGCCUUCUCGCCGCGGACGGUCACGUAGCACGAAAUCUUCUCAUUACGGCGAAUGGCGAAGGAGCGCACGGUGAAGCGAGCGCGGCCGUAGACGGGCACCUGAGAGGUCAGCUGCUCCAGCACCUGCAGUGGGCAAAGCGGCGCGGAGGCGGAUGAGCGAGGUCGUCCUUCCGCCGAGCUGUCCUUCGCUAUGACGCAGAGUACAGCGUUAUUAUGAUGACAAACAGCGCC
rnacentral:lncRNA from 1 species